CUACGGGACGCUGCAGUGGGGAAUAUUGGACAAUGGGGGCAACCCUGAUCCAGCCAUGCCGCGUGUGUGAAGAAGGCCUUAGGGUUGUAAAGCACUUUCAGAUGUGAGGAAAGGUGUGUGCUUAAUACGUACAUACUGUGACGUUAGCAUCAGAAGAAGGACCGGCUAACUCCGUGCCAGCAGCCGCGGUAAUACGGAGGGUCCGAGCGUUAAUCGGAAUUACUGGGCGUAAAGCGCGCGUAGGUGGUUUCGUCAGUCAGAUGUGAAAGCCCCGGGCUCAACCUGGGAAUUGCACCUGAUACUGCGGAACUAGAGUACGAUAGAGGGGAGUGGAAUUUCCGGUGUAGCGGUGAAAUGCGUAGAGAUCGGAAGGAACACCAGUGGCGAAGGCGACUCCCUGGAUUGAUACUGACACUGAGGUGCGAAAGCGUGGGGAGCAAACAGGAUUAGAUACCCCGGUAGUC
rnacentral:rRNA from 1 species